GGCUGGCUGGCUCAGUUGGUGGAGCAUGUGACUCUUGAUCUCAGGAUUGUGAGUUCAAACCCCAUGUUGGGUG
rnacentral:tRNA from 1 species